rnacentral:rRNA from 1 species
GAUGAACGCUAGCGACAGGCUUAACACAUGCAAGUCGAGGGGCAGCAUAAAAGUAGCAAUACUUUGGUGGCGACCGGCGCACGGGUGAGUAACGCGUAUGCAACCUACCUAUCAGAGGGGGGAUAACCCGGCGAAAGUCGGACUAAUACCGCAUAAAACAGGGGCACCGCAUGGUGAUAUUUGUUAAAAAUUUAUUGCUGAUAGAUGGGCAUGCGUUCCAUUAGGUAGUUGGAGAGGUAACGGCUCACCAAGCCCACGAUGGAUAGGGGAACUGAGAGGUUGGUCCCCCANACUGGUACUGAGACACGGACCAGACUCCUACGGGAGGCAGCAGUGAGGAAUAGUGGUCAAUGGGCGAGAGCCUGAACGAGCCAAGUCGCGUGAAGGAAGAAGGAUCUAUGGUUCGUAGACUUCUUUUGCAGGGGAAUAAAGUGCAGGACGUGUCCUGUUUUGUAUGUACCCUGAGAAUAAGGAUCGGCUAACUCCGUGCCAGCAGCCGACGG